rnacentral:lncRNA from 1 species
GUGUUAGUGGUGUGUGUUAGUGGUGUGUGUUAGCGGUGUGUGUUAGCGGUGUGUGUUAGCGGUGUGUGUUAGUGGUGUGUGUGUGUGUUAGUGGUGUGUGUGUUAGUGGUGUGUGUUAGUGGUGUGUGUGUUAGUGGUGUGUGUGUUAGUGGUGUGUGUUAGUGGUGUGUGUUAGUGCUGUGUGUUAGUGUGGUGUGUGUGUUAGUGGUGUGUGUGUUAGUGGUGUGUGUUAGUGGUGUGUGUUAGUGGUGUGUGUUAGUGGUGUGUGUGUUAGUGGUGUGUGUUAGUGCUGUGUGUUAGUGCUGUGUGUUAGUGCUGUGUGUGUGUUAGUGGUGUGUGUUACUGGUGUGUGUUAGUGGUGUGUGUUAGUGGUGUGUGUUAGUGGUGUGUGUUAGUGGUGUGUGUGUUAGUGGUGUGUGUUAGUGGUGUGUGUUAGUGGUGUGUGUGUUAGUGCUGUGUGUUAGUGGUGUGUGUUAGUGCUGUGUGUUAGUGGAGUGUGUUAGUGGUGUGUGUUAGUGGUGUGUGUGUUAGUGCUGUGUGUUAGUGGUGUGUGUUAGUGGUGUGUGUUAGUGGUGUGUGUUAGUGGUGUGUGUGUUAGUGCUGUGUGUUAGUGGUGUGUGUGUUAGUGGUGUGUGUUAGUGGUGUGUGCUAGUGGUGUGUGUUAGUGGUGUGUGUUAGUGCUGUGUGUUAGUGGUGUGUGUUAGUGGUGUGUGUUAGUGCUGUGUGUUAGUGGUGUGUGUGUUAGUGGUGUGUGUUAGUGGUGUGUGUUAGUGCUGUGUGUUAGUGCUGUGUGUGUGUUAGUGUGGUGUGUGUGUUAGUGGUGUGUGUUAGUGGUGUGUGUUAGUGGUGUGUGUUAGUGGUGUGUGUGUUAGUGCUGUGUGUUAGUGGUGUGUGUUAGUGGUGUGUGUUAGUGGUGUGUGUUAGUGGUGUGUGUUAAUGGUGUGUGUUAGUG